GACGAACGCUGGCGGCGUGCUUAACACAUGCAAGUCGAACGAUGAAGCCGGAGCUUGCUCUGGUGAAUUAGUGGCGAACGGGUGAGUAACACGUGAGUAACCUGCCCUUGACUCUGGGAUAACUGCGGGAAACUGUAGCUAAUACCGGAUACGACCCUCGGAGGCAUCUCCUGGGGGUGGAAAGAAUUUCGGUCAAGGAUGGACUCGCGGCCUAUCAGCUAGUUGGUGAGGUAAAGGCUCACCAAGGCGACGACGGGUAGCCGGCCUGAGAGGGUGACCGGGCACACUGGGACUGAGACACGGCCCAGACUGCUACGGGAGGCAGCAGUGGGGAAUAGUGCCCAAUGGGCGCAAGCCUGAUGCAGCAACGCCGCGCGAGGGAUGACGGCCUUCGGGUUGUAAACCUCUUUUAGCAGGGAAGAAGCGAAAGUGACGGUACCUGCAGAAAAAGCACCGGCUAACUACGUGCCAGCCGCCGCGGUAA
rnacentral:rRNA from 1 species